CUAUGAUGUGUAGCCGGGCUGAGAGGUUGAACGGCCACAUUGGGACUGAGACACGGCCCAAACUCCUACGGGAGGCAGCAGUAGGGAAUUUUCGGCAAUGGAGGAAACUCUGACCGAGCAACGCCGCGUGAACGAUGAAGUAUUUCGGUACGUAAAGUUCUUUUAUUAGGGAAGAAUAAAUGAUGGAAAAAUCAUUCUGACGGUACCUAAUGAAUAAGCCCCGGCUAACUAUGUGCCAGCAGCCGCGGUAAUACAUAGGGGGCAAGCGUUAUCCGGAAUUAUUGGGCGUAAAGGGUGCGUAGGCGGUUAAAUAAGUUUAUGGUCUAAGUGCAAUGCUCAACAUUGUGAUGCUAUAAAAACUGUUUAGCUAGAGUAAGAUAGAGGCAAGUGGAAUUCCAUGUGUAG
rnacentral:rRNA from 1 species